GGCUCAGGACGAACGCUGGCGGCGUGCUUAACACAUGCAAGUCGAGCGAUGAAGCUCCUUCGGGAGUGGAUUAGCGGCGGACGGGUGAGUAACACGUGGGUAACCUGCCUCAUAGAGGGGAAUAGCCUUUCGAAAGGAAGAUUAAUACCGCAUAAGAUUGUAGUACCGCAUGGUACAGCAAUUAAAGGAGUAAUCCGCUAUGAGAUGGACCCGCGUCGCAUUAGCUAGUUGGUGAGGUAACGGCUCACCAAGGCGACGAUGCGUAGCCGACCUGAGAGGGUGAUCGGCCACAUUGGGACUGAGACACGGCCCAGACUCCUACGGGAGGCAGCAGUGGGGAAUAUUGCACAAUGGGGGAAACCCUGAUGCCAGCAACGCCGCGUGAGUGAUGACGGCCUUCGGGUUGUAAAACUCUGUCUUUGGGGACGAUAAUGACGGUACCCAAGGAGGAAGCCACGGCUAACUACGUGCCAGCAGCUGC
rnacentral:rRNA from 1 species